UGAGGAACAUGACCUUCGGCGGGGGAUAGCCGGCCCAACGGCCGGGUAAUACCGCGUACGACCACAUGGGGACAUCCCUGAGUGGUGAAAGCAGCAAUGCGCCGAUGGAGUGCCUCGCGGCCUAUCAGCUAGUUGGUGAGGUAACGGCUCACCAAGGCGACGACGGGUANCUGGUCUGAGAGGACGACCAGCCACACUGGAACUGAGAUACGGUCCAGACUCCGUAGGUGG
rnacentral:rRNA from 1 species